rfam:Nomascus leucogenys chromosome 11, whole genome shotgun sequence.
UUUGUUUUAAGCAUACUAAAAAAUGAUUCAACGAUACAGAGAUGAUUAACAUGGUCCCUACCUGACGAUGACACACAAGUUCAUGAAGCAUUUCACACUUUU